UGUUGGUGUUGUGUACUCAGGUGAAUAUGAUAUUUGUGAUGUUAGUGUAGAUAUACGAUGUGGAUAUACACUCAGAGUAACAUCACAAAUAUCAUAUUCACCUGAGUACACAACA